CGGCGCACGUCUUCUUGUACUGAUGUCGAAGCAGCGAGUACACGAAGGGGUCGCAGGCUGCCUUGCUAUAAGCUAAGCACUUGGAGACAAUUCCCCAGUGAGGAUUGAUAGGCACCGCAGGAAAUAACUCCACGAUCCUGCAGGCAAGCAUGAAGAGAGGAUGGCUCAAGUGAAACUACUUCUCGCGUGUGUGUGUGUGGAUUCAUGCCGUGAGGCGUCUUCCCACUGCAUCUCUCACUCGCAGCAGCAGCACGAUUCAUGUCAGAAAAGGGUUUGAGACGCACUACAUCUCGCAGAUCUCUGCCUCCAACCAAACCACUGUUCACACCAACUACGUCUUCGUGAUUGAUGCACUUGGUCGUGGAUUGUACCUGACUAACUGAGAUGCACCCAGCGAACUCGAGGGGGGAAAGUGCUAAUGCAGCAGCAGCAGCAACAGCAGAGCAGAGACAUAUUACUUGUCACAAGGAACUCUGAUAUGUCCUCUUCAAUUCCACCCGAGAGCGUUACGUCGAUGCAGAUCCACGGCAAUGAAGCCUAAAUGGAGACACGUGGGCCUCGACGCCUCCUGGCCUCAGGUAGUAUCACCUUGAAUCAGCAGAGCACAGCGGCGCCAUCGUCCGACGUUGGUGGAGUUCGUCCUGUGUGAUUAAUCGUGCCGGAUAAAGACCCAUUUUAAAGGCGCAAAAAGUAAGCACAGUAGCAAACUGCUUAUGAAGUAAACAUUAGCAAAGUCGAUCCAGGUAAAAGUCGACCCACCUUACUGAUGUCAUCAUACAUCCAUCACAACACACGGAUGAGUUACAGAGGGAUAUAUAAGCUUGAAACCACAGCAUGUGGGUCCUGCUAAUAAUAAUAAUAAGUUUGCUCAUAUUGUGCGUGCAAGUGUGGUAGCGAGAUUUUAGUGGUUGACUUUGGGGCUACAUUAUUAUUGAUUCUUUUGUCAAUUUAAGGUUUGAUAUAUUGUUUGGUCUAUGAAAUAUCCUAAUAAAGAUGAAAUAAUGACCCAUAAUCUAAAAA